rnacentral:rRNA from 1 species
UACGGAGGGUGCAAGCGUUAUCCGGAUUCACUGGGUUUUAAAGGGUGCGUAGGCGGGUAAGUAAGUCCGUGGUGAAAUCUCUGAGCUUAACUCAGAAACUGCCGUGGAUACUAUUUGCCUUGAAUAUUGUGGAGGUGAGCGGAAUAUGUCAUGUAGCGGUGAAAUGCUUUAGAUAUGACAUAGAACACCAAUUGCGAAGGCAGCUCACUACACAAUUCAUUGACGCUGAGGCACGAAAAGCGUGGGGGAUCAAACAGG